rnacentral:rRNA from 1 species
UACGAAGGGGGCUAGCGUUGCUCGGAAUUACUGGGCGUAAAGCGCACGUAGGCGGUCUUUUAAGUCGGGGGUGAAAUCCUGGAGCUCAACUCCAGAACUGCCUUCGAUACUGGAAGACUUGAGUCCGGGAGAGGUGAGUGGAACUGCGAGUGUAGAGGUGAAAUUCGUAGAUAUUCGCAAGAACACCCGUGGCUAAGGCGGCUCUCUAGUACGGUACUGACGCUGAGACGCGAAAGCGUGGGGAGCGAACAGG